rnacentral:rRNA from 1 species
GAUGAACGCUGGCGGCGUGCCUAACACAUGCAAGUCGAACGGUAGCACAGACUAGCUUGCUAGUUGGGUGACGAGUGGCGAACGGGUGAGUAAUGCGCAGGAAUACGCCUUAAAGAGGGGGACAACUUGGGGAAACUCAAGCUAAUACCGCGUACGCUCUUUGGAGGAAAGCUGGGGACCUUCGGGCCUGGCGCUUUAAGAGUAGCCUGCGUCUGAUUAGUUAGUUGGUGAGGUAAAGGCUCACCAAGACGAUGAUCAGUAGCUGGUCUGAGAGGAUGGUCAGCCACACUGGGACUGAGACACGGCCCAGACUCCUACGGGAGGCAG